CACUCCGAACGUCGACUUUCACUCAAGGAUUUAGAAAUGGUUUCAAGAUAUUAUCUGGUUGCUUUGGUGGUUGUUUUUCUCUUGACAAUUGAUCAAAUGAAUGGACAAAUCACCUUCUCCAGGAACUGGAAAACGGGGAAGAGAGCGGAUGAUUGCAGCAGAUUGGGAUCGGAAUUUCAAGUGAAAUUAUUCAGAAUUAUCCAGG